UUUCCGUAGGUGAACCUGCGGAAGGAUCAUUAUUGAAUAACCAACGCGCGAGCGCCGUCGCUCAUCCGACUGGUCGCGUCCGCCGGUGUGCCCGCACCCACAUACACCGCACCCCCAUGCGCACCACCGCUAGGCUCUCCCUCUGUAUUGAACGGCGGAGGGCUAACAUUAUCAAACAAACACUGUCAGCAACGUAUAAUGUAUUUCUUGCUUUUGUGAACAACCCAUCAAUACAACUGUCAACAACGGAUCUCUUGGCUCACGCCUAGAAGAAGAACG
rnacentral:misc_RNA from 1 species